rnacentral:tRNA from 2 species
UCUCGGGUAGUUCAGUGGUAGAACGCCUGGCUGUUAACCAGGAUGUCGUAGGUUCGAAUCCUGCCCCGAGAG